CCGGCUCUGGCCCCGGAAGGCGCGGCUGCACGGUGCACACUAGCAGGAAGGAAGUGGGACAGAGUCGGACCCUCAAUAAAGACAGACAGACGGGCGCUGCCGGCUGUUCUUGGCAUUCGCGGGUGUCGGUGCCCGCGCGUGGGGACGCGGUAGCCACGAGGCGUGCGGGCGGCUCGCGCGGGCACCAAGCCUUGAGGACAGGAAGCAGCGACGCCGGUAGCGUUUCCAUUCCUCCCCGCCUUUGUUUGCCUUCAGACUGAAAGUGGACUGCAGCCCAGCUGUGGGAGAGUUAACACAAGAAAACUCACUGCAGGCUGAGCGUCCUAGUCCGAAAAUCCCCAGUCCGGAAUGUCCAGCGUCGAGGCCCGCUGAGCGCUGACCGGUGCCUCCCACGGGAAAUCCACACCUGCCUCCCUUGCAGGGGCCGCAGAUGUCACCGCCCCGGAAGCGGCGGCACGGUUUCUCCCGCUGCGCACACGGGGCACGCGGCGCGGGUAAAGCUUCCGUGGUGAGACGGGGCCGUCCCCAGAGAGCUCACCCUGCGUGCACAGAUACUCCAGACCCAGCGCAAACGCGCGGGGGCUGGUGUGCACUGUAGUGUUCACCCUCGCUUCCUCCCGUGGCUGCGACUCCCGCACCUGCGGUCACGGCCCGAGGCUAGGUCGCCUCCUCUUUCUCUCGCCUGACCGUUGUGUGCCAGUGAUUACUGCAGGCAGCCCCUCCCUCCUGUUUCUGUCCCCUUCCUGGCCCCCUGCUCCUCCCUGUGGCAGAGGUGAACUCCAGUUAUUUAAAUGCAGACAAGACCACAGGGGGAAACAGGAUGAUAUGAGUAUUCUACGACUUGAGGAAAUAUUUCAGCGUGCACGAGGCCUCACCCUCUGUACCCACGUCUGCGGCAAAUGUUUACUUGAAGGCUGACACUCACUUUUAUCUCGAAGAACACGAAAAAUACUUGCAGACCAGCAAACCUGACUCUGAAAAUAGUUCAUUCCGGAAGGACCUCUUGAAAUACAGAGUUUCUCAUAAGCAGCCUGGUUUCAGGGGAAUCUGAAAGAAGGCAGAUCCUGUCCUGAAGCGUCAGAACAGGGUUGUGCAAUCCAUGUCCCAGACUUGCACUGCAGCAGCUCUGCAGGCAGGGCAGGGGUGCGCCCUCAGGAGCUGCCUGUGCGGGGAAUUCUGGGAGAAAUGCAACUCCAGCAAGGGCCCUGCUCAGAAUGAAAGCGCAAGGACGUGGCCUCGCAUGGACUGCUUCUCCGUGGAGAGUCCCUUGAGAGGUGAGGAAAGGGUCGUCUGGGAGGAGCAGUAGACAUGACAUGUUCUGAUCUGUUGUAAGGAGACACCCAAGCUAAGGCUCGGUUCCAUGCUCUACCUUGGAAUUCAGUGCAGGAGCGAGCUUGAAGAGACACGUGUGUUUGCAAGUUUAUUGCGCUGGAACGUGAAGUUAGGAGAACCCUGGCAGGAGGCCUGGUGUGAUGCUGAGGACUGGCGAAACGGGUUACAUGAUGGGCACUAUCUGUCCUUCUGGGGAGAACCUGACUGCUCCAGGCUUUGACCAAAAAGCACCAAAAGUACACGAGACGACCUUUUAAUGUGUAUCAAUUUGCAUUUUACUGAAAAUGCUUUGGAAGGCAUAAUAUUU
ensembl:lncRNA